rnacentral:lncRNA from 1 species
UUCCGCCGCCCGGAAGGCGGGAAGGGGCCGGCGUGAGGAGGGGUCGGGAUGCAGGGGCGGGGCGGGCCGGGCUUGGGGGCCGCGGGGCAGCGUUCAGGACCCCGUUUUGAGGAGCGAUCUCUCCCCGCGUACGCACGCCAGUACUUGUGACUGCGAGGAGCGAAGUACCCAAAGACACAGCCCUUGCCCUCAAAUGGCUUACAGUCUCGGAGUGACAGUUACAAAACAGAAAAGACAAAGGAAGCGCUGCACACUAAUGGCACGUGUUGAAAGCCAGCCAGCAUCUCUGAUUGUGGGGAUACAGGAAGAGCAGGAUAUCUGAUGAAAAGGAUACCACAGAACCCAAGAUACCAGCAUAUCAAAUCAAGACUGGACACUGGUAACAGUAUGACUAAAUAUACUGAGAAGCUCGAAGAGAUUAAGAAAAAUUAUAGAUACAAAAAAGAUGAGCUUUUCAAGAGACUAAAAGUUACAACUUUUGCCCAGCUGAUCAUCCAAGUUGCUUCCCUCUCUGAU